GACGAACGCUGGCGGCGUGCCUAAUACAUGCAAGUAGAACGCUGAAGCGAGGAGCUUACUCUUCUUGGAUGAGUUGCGAACGGGUGAGUAACGCGUAGGUAACCUGCCUUGUAGCGGGGGAUAACUAUUGGAAACGAUAGCUAAUACCGCAUAACAAUGGAUGACACAUGUCAUUUAUUUGAAAGGGGCAAUUGCUCCACUACAAGAUGGACCUGCGUUGUAUUAGCUAGUAGGUGAGGUAAUGGCUCACCUAGGCGACGAUACAUAGCCGACCUGAGAGGGGGGUCGGCCACACUGGGACUGAGACACGGCCCAGACUCCUACGGGAGGCAGCAGUAGGGAAUCUUCGGCAAUGGGGGCAACCCUGACCGAGCAACGCCGCGUGAGUGAAGAAGGUUUUCGGAUCGUAAAGCUCUGUUGUAAGUCAAGAACGGGUGUGAGAGUGGAAAGUUCACACUGUGACGGUAGCUUACCAGAAAGGGACGGCUAACUACGUG
rnacentral:rRNA from 1 species